rnacentral:misc_RNA from 1 species
AACGCACGAGACCUGCGGACCUGCGGAAGGAUCAUUACCGAGUUAUCCAACUCCCAACCCCUGUGAAUUAUACCUUUAAUUGUUGCUUCGGCGGGACUUCGCGCCCGCCGGGGACCCAAACCUUCUGAAUUUUUUAAUAAGUAUCUUCUGAGUGGUUAAAAAAAUGAAUCAAAACUUUCAGCAAUGGAUCUCU